rnacentral:tRNA from 1 species
GCCCGGAUGGCGAAAUUGGUAGACGCAAGGGACUUAAAAUCCCUCGGUAGCAAUACCGUGCCGGUUCGAUUCCGGCUCCGGGCACCA